GAGGCUGGGCCGUAAGGCUGGUUGUUUCUUGUUGUUGUUGUUGUUUUGUUUUGUUUUACUCCUCUGGUAAUUGCAUCAUUUCCUGGCCGCGUCUCGCACAGAACGCUGAGCCGUGAAGCCGUUGCCCGGGUAAUAACACUUCAAAAAUGCGGGGAUGAUGGAAACGCUGCGGGUCGGAAGGGUAUCCUCGGAUCCGGGGGCCGAUGCUCUCCGCAGUGCUCUAGGCACGGCCCCCCAGCUCCCAGCUUCGGGAGCCUGUCCUUAACUCAAUACAGCGGCAGGUUCUAUCCCUGUUCCUCAACGCGUCCGCGGGGUUGUUGGCACUGAAGAGAAUGUACACAUUGGGUUCCACCUGCUGGAGCACCUGCUGAGACGCUUUACGUAGAUAGGGACUGGAGGGUUGGAAGGGAACAAAGUGAAAGGUGGAGGUCUUGUGAGACCUGAAGGGGAGGCCUGGAUAGAGAGGAAGGUGCGUGAAGAAGAAAGACCGUGAGGAGAGUGAUUCCAGCAUGUGCUCCUGAGGUCCCAAACAAAUCUCUGACCAGGCUGCUGUGAAUGAAGCUUUACUCCCACAGUAUUAUGAAAGCAAACACAAGCCCAGGGUCAAGUGCUUCUUUUGUUCCAGAAGUUCUUUCCCACGAGUUCAAUCCUGCCAUUAGCAUUGAUUUCCACAGCUUUAAUCUAGGACCUCCUAUCUCAGCUUGUUAAAGAACUGUUCAACUAUGACUUUCCUAUAAUCUUAAAGGGAAAAAUGAGAAGUAAGAGGUAGAAAGGGGGUAAAAAUGAAGUCACCUACUUACCUUUACCCCCAGUUGCCUGAAGCAUCUUCAAAUGAUCUACUGUCAUUUGCAAUAUUUCGGCUUUCUCCAACUUUGCAGAUCCCUGCAUAAACAAAUAAUAAAGUCUUGGAAGUUCUAUGGAA